rnacentral:rRNA from 1 species
AACGAACGCUGGCGGCAGGCUUAACACAUGCAAGUCGAGGGGUAGCAUGAUUGUAGCAAUACAAUUGAUGGCGACCGGCAAACGGGUGCGGAACACGUACACAACCUUCCAAUAAGUGGGGAAUAGCCCAGAGAAAUUUGGAUUAAUACCCCGUAACAUAACGAUGUGGCAUCACAUUGUUAUUAUAGAUUUUUCGCUUAUUGAUGGGUGUGCGGCUGAUUAGAUAGUUGGCGGGGUAACGGCCCACCAAGUCUACGAUCAGUAGCUGAUGUGAGAGCAUGAUCAGCCACACGGGCACUGAGACACGGGCCCGACUCCUACGGGAGGCAGCAGUAAGGAAUAUUGGACAAUGGACGCAAGUCUGAUCCAGCCAUGCCGCGUGAAGGAUUAAGGUCCUCUGGAUUGUAAACUUCUUUUAUAAGGGACGAAAAAAGGCUUUUCUAAGUCGUCUGACGGUACCUUAUGAAUAAGCACCGGCUAACUCCGUGCCAGCCGCCGCUGUAACAC